AGAACUGAAAAAUGAGGGAAGAAAAAAUGGCCUCACACCAGUAUGCAUAUGGAAUUUUACACAUAUGCCCCCUUCAUCACCUGCUACUGGAGAGCGAGUCAUAAAUCUCAAACAUGGCAAAACCCCCUGUACAAAAACCAACAUUCCAUCGAGCACCACCUGCUCCACUGCCCACGAUUCCACUCUCACCACACUGCACUAUGCUCCCAACUAUCAGCCUGCAGUCACAACACUCCACCUGGCAGCCUCAGAUGUCCACACAUCACAACAACCACCUGUCAUCUGCCUCCCCUGUAUCUUCCUGUGGUAGCCUCACAGGAUUUCACCAGGGCCAAUGAGGAUUGUUUUAUCAUUACGAGCCUGAUAGCAACAACAAUAACAAGCCAUUACACAACCUUUCCAGCAAGGAGCUCUUGAUGCUCGUUUAAGCAGUGAAGGCAAGGUGGGACAUUAUUGUUGGCUCACUCACUCCUUGCCUUGCUGGCACAAUGAAGGAGCAGGUGUGGAAUACAGUGAGAGCUGGUCAACGCUGAGUAGUGUUGUCAGGAGCAUCACUGAAGUCAGAAACAAGUUCACUGACAUCAAGGAGAAAAAAUGGAUAACUUAACAGGAAACACAGUUACAGGUUGAAGGCAAAACAGAGCUGGGUCCACCAGGUGUGGGCAUGUCAAGCAAUCAAGAAGCAGAGCAGGAGUGGUAAUAGCCAGAACCAAUCCAGCAAAGCCACUGUCCAUAUUCUGUCAUCAGUGCAGCCCACAUCAAUCUGCAUUCUUCCUGGCCAGCCCUCAACAUCAUUGCCAUCACCAUCUCCUUGCCUAUUGCUGGUCCCAGCAGGCGGCACACAAGCAGGGCAAAAGGUCUAGCAGUUCCUCAGAUGUUGGAAAUAUAACAAGGCAUCCUUACCGAGAGGAAUAUGAGGGGUUCAGUGGAUAUGUUGGGUGGCCAUCUGGAUGUAAGAAACUUAUUUUCAGUACCUGCAUGGAGGUCAUGACUACAAGGCUGGAAGUCAUAGCCAAUUCCUAGGCAGAAAUUGCUGUCAAGAAAGAUUAAUUACAAGACCAUUUUGUUUGUGUAUAAUGUAUGAUUAUUCUCUUACUUUUAGAUAUGAUAAUAGGUUAGUAUCAUGUUGCUUUUAAGA